CGGUGGUUCCGCGCGCUUCCCGCGCUCCCGGGGCCGAAGGGGCCGCAGACGGCCCACAGUCCCCCGGGACCUGGUCGGUCGCCUCCUGAGGCCGCCCGCCGCCCCCAGGGGCUACCCACUGGAGCGGGCGGUGUGUUCUCAGGGCCGCAGGCGAGGAGCCGGGCAGGGUCGCGAGGCGCCUGGGUGCACAGCCCUGCGGGGACUGGAGGAGCGGGCCGGAGGGUGAUGGCGCGAGCCGGCUUGUGGGCACUUGGGCUCAGGCAUCGAAACAGGUGUCCAGGUGGUUCCACCUGAUCGAAACGUCGCCUUCCCUACACAUAAAGCUUCUUGGGAGAAAUCCCAGGACAGGUGAUUUUGACGUAUAGUAAAAGUGGCUGUCCUAGUUUUGCAUGAGUGGGAUGACUUACCAGUCACAGCACCACAGGAUUUUCUUUCCUUUUGGCCUCAACUCGCAGCUUGUGGAAUCAGACCCGUGUCCUGUGCACUGGGGAGGUGGAUUCUUAUCCACUGGACCACGAGGGACGUCCCCCACACAUGAGUUUUAAAAAGGCCAUAGCUGGAACCGUCCAGAAGAAAGACCAGACCAGAAGCAAACAGCCAGGCUGUGAGCAGCCCCCAGGGGAGCGCGGGCAGCCUCUAGAUCCAAGGGCGUCCAGCAGUCACGAAGCCGGCACCCUCAGUCAGCAGCUUCCAAGAAGUGAAUCCUGCCGGCAGUUUGCAUGGACCGACAGCAGAUCCUUCUCACUCAGACCUCCAGAUGUGCCAAAAAAGAGAGAUUUGUAAAAUCUGGUUCACUGAACAUGAACUGAGUUAAACAGAGUCCACAGCGCAUGGACACUCCUGGGAAAUCAUCAGCAAGGGAAAGGGAACUGCAGUCUGAUCUGAGGGGGGACUUGGCCUUUGAACGAGCAGGGACAGAUAUACUGGUCAGACAGAGGACAGAGAUCAUGGGAUCUUGAAGGAGAAGCAAAGAUCUCCAAGGAGAAAAAGCAAAUUGCACAACAAAACAGAAAGAGAUCCGAUGAAGUGCCUCAUCUUACUUGAGAGUCCCUUGGCCUGCAAGGAGAUCCAACCAGUCCAUACUAAAUUAGGAGAUCAGUCUUGAACAUUCACUGGAAGGACUGAUGCUGAAGAUGAGGCUCUAACACUUUGGCCACUUGAUGCAAAGAACUGACUCAUUGGAAAAGACCCUGAUGCUGGGGAAGAUUGAAGACGGGAGGAGAAGGGAACGACAGAGGAUGAGAUGGAUGGCAUCACCGACUCGAUGGACAUGAGUUUGAGCAAGCUCUGGGAGUUGGUGAUGGACAGGGAAGCCUGGCGUGCUGCAGUCCGUGGGGUCACAAAGAGUCAGACACGACUGAGAGACUGAACUGACUGACUGACCUUGUUUUACAGGUGAGGAAACUGAGUCAGAAGUGGGCUCCUUCUUAGUGGGCCAGGACCCGCAGCCCCGAGAUGGAAGAGUAGGCUGUGUCCCCUUUAAAAGAGAGACCACACCAUUACCCCUGCAGCAGGCUACAGGCCCGGGUUCCUCCAGGUAGGAAGACGGAAGGAGGCCUGUUAUAGGGAAGGGCGCCUCUCCUAAAUGAGAGGUGAGGGUUACCUAGUGGGAGGCACCAAAGACCCAGUCCUAUGCUUCGGCAUCCAGCUCAGCUGAUUGUAAUCGUGUGAA